CAGAGUUGCAAAACUCCCCAAACCAUCGCGAACCCACCCCUAAACAGUUGCUUCGGCGGCGCCCGAAGGCCCUCAGCGGCCGGAGUGCCCGCCGGGGACCCCCCAAACUCUUGUUUUUAGACAAAAUGGCCUUCUCUGAGUACUGUACUUUAAAUAAGUCA
rnacentral:misc_RNA from 1 species